rnacentral:rRNA from 1 species
AUGCCUUACACAUGCAAGUCGAACGGCAGCACGGGAGCAAGUCCUGGUGGCGGAGUGGCGAACGGGUGAGUAAUAUAUCGGAACGUGCCCAGUCGUGGGGGAUAACGUAGCGAAAGCUACGCUAAUACCGCAUACGAUCUAUGGAUGAAAGCGGGGGAUCGCAAGACCUCGCGCGAUUGGAGCGGCCGAUAUCAGAUUAGGUAGUUGGUGAGGUAAAGGCUCACCAAGCCGACGAUCUGUAGCUGGUCUGAGAGGACGACCAGCCACACUGGGACUGAGACACGGCCCAGACUCCUACGGGAGGCAGCAGUGGGGAAUUUUGGACAAUGGGCGCAAGCCUGAUCCAGCAAUGCCGCGUGCAGGAUGAAGGCCUUCGGGUUGUAAACUGCUUUUGUACGGAACGAAACGGUGAGCUCUAAUACAGUUUGCUAAUGACGGUACCGUAAGAAUAAGCACCGGCUAACUACGUG